GACGAACGCUGGCGGCGUGCUUAACACAUGCAAGUCGAACGGAAAGGCCUCUUUCGGGGGGUACUCGAGUGGCGAACGGGUGAGUAACACGUGAGUAACCUGCCCUUGACUUUGGGAUAACUUCAGGAAACUGGGGCUAAUACCGGAUAGGAGCUCCUGCUGCAUGGUUGGGGUUGGAAAGUUUCGGCGGUUGGGGGUGGACUCUCGGCUUAUCAGCUUGUUGGUGGGGUAGUGGCUUACCAAGGCGUUGACGGGUAGCCGGACGGUGAGGGUGACCGGCCACAUUGGGACUGAGGUAAGGCACAGACUCCUACGGGAGGCAGCAGUGGGGAAUAUUGACCGAGGGGUGGAAGCCUGAUGCAGCAACGCCGUGUGCGGGAUGACGGCCUUAGGGUUGUAAACCGAAUUCGCUAAUGACGAAGCUUUGUGUGACGGUAGUGGGUAAAGAAGCACCGGCUAACUACGUG
rnacentral:rRNA from 1 species